CUUAAACAAAAAGAAAAAACACUAAUUAACAAUAUAGAGAUAUAAUAUAUCAAAACAAGUCAUAUAAUAUUAUAAAUCGUCUAUGAAAGUUUCAAUAACUAAGAUGUUUCUGAUUCCAAUUAAACGGAGGUAUUAUUCGUAUUUGUAUCAACAGAUGUACUCGCUCCACCUUUGCUCUCUGUUUUGAUUUCCUUUGAAUCAUCUUUGGAAAACUUUCGACAAGACAAAGUAUGGAUUACAUGUCUGCGAAAUUUGUGAUCGAAAAAGGCAUAGAUAAAUGGAUUUGUCACAUGAUUUAAAACGUAUGUCCGAGAAAACAACUCAAUGGUCAAACUUUCCGACUGUGUGAGACUUGUCCAGUCCAAAUGCUUUCCGAAGGCUUUUAUUGCUAUAAUAGGUAUAUAGCUGACUGCAAAGAUAACACUGAUAGUAAAUGUUAUUUUUGUCAUUUUAACAGAAAGGUCCUUUGAUUCUUGGACACUUUUGUUCAUACCAAUAUACAAUUCUUUCUUUUUCCUUUGAAGAUACAGUUUUCUUGCUAUCAAGGAGUACAGUAUUACGAGUGUAAAAAGGCACCCGAUGAAAUAUGCUACAAGAAGAUAAUCGUGUACAGAUCCAUACGUUGUAUUACUAGAGUUCACUGGGCAAUGAAAGGCGGUGAGAUUCGGUGAUAAUUUUAACUCAAUGGUAGGCUGUAACAUAACAUCUUGAAUGGAAAAAUAUAAUCCCAUAACAAUACAUCCAAGUACGAAAUAUUUGAUAUUCUUUAAGGUGAUUUGUCGACCGAAAGGUAUACAGAUUUGACGAUGUCGAUGUAUCGAAAGCACUAUCAAAAGGCUUGAAGAAACCAUGACAAGAAAUACGAAAAUUAGAGUAAAUAAUUGACAAGCCCAUCUCUCCGUGAACGUAAAAAAUCGGAUAAUUCUGCUUAUAUUGAAAGGUGUGCCAGUCAUACAAAAGAGAAUAUCUGUCCAUGCCAAACUCCAAAUAAGUGUUCUGUAAACGGAUUCCCUGUAGGUUUGUCGAUAAAUAAGUAAAACAAUCAAAUUUCCUGGAAUUCCAACUAGUAAUGUACCACACAAAAAAACUAAGCUCGGAGUCAAUUUUUCAAUUUGACCAUCAUCCAUGUGCUUUAAAAUCUCCAUAUUGGUAAACUUCGUUACACUAUUAUUCAACAUUGGUGCAACAUAGGCAAACGAAUGUCAAUUUCUUCUGUUUAUAUCAAAUUCUAAGUAAUGUAUCUAAGUAUUAUUAAUUAACACAUAAUGAAAUAUUCAUCCUUGAUAACAGGAUAUGUCGGACAAAAAUU
rnacentral:lncRNA from 1 species